rnacentral:rRNA from 1 species
UACGUAGGGCGCAAGCGUUGUCCGGAAUUAUUGGGCGUAAAGAGCUCGUAGGCGGUUUGUCGCGUCUGUCGUGAAAGCUUGGGGCUUAACCCCAAGUCUGCGGUGGAUACGGGCAGACUAGAGGCAGGUAGGGGAGAACGGAAUUCCUGGUGUAGCGGUGAAAUGCGCAGAUAUCAGGAGGAACACCGAUGGCGAAGGCAGGUCUCUGGGCCACUACUGACGCUGAGAAGCGAAAGCAUGGGGAGCGAACAGG